GAUGAACGCUGGCGGCGUGCCUAAUACAUGCAAGUCGAGCGAAUGGAUUAAGAGCUUGCUCUUAUGAAGUUAGCGGCGGACGGGUGAGUAACACGUGGGUAACCUGCCCAUAAGACUGGGAUAACUCCGGGAAACCGGGGCUAAUACCGGAUAACAUUUUGAACCGCAUGGUUCAAAAUUGAAAGGCGGCUUCGGCUGUCACUUAUGGAUGGACCCGCGUCGCAUUAGCUAGUUGGUGAGGUAACGGCUCACCAAGGCAACGAUGCGUAGCCGACCUUGAAGGGUGGUCGGCCACACUGGGACUGAGACACGGCCCAGACUCCUACGGGAGGCAGCAGUAGGGAAUCUUCCGCAAUGGACGAAAGUCUGACGGAGCAACGCCGCGUGAGUGAUGAAGGCUUUCGGGUCUUAACACUCUGUUGUUAGGGAAGAACAAGUGCUAGUUGAAUAAGCUGGCACCUUGACGGUACCUAACCAGAAAGCCACGGCUAACUACGUGCCAGCCGCCGCAGUAA
rnacentral:rRNA from 1 species